rnacentral:rRNA from 1 species
CGGGAGAUAGCUGGUUCUCCCCGAAAGCUAUUUAGGUAGCGCCUCGUGAAUUCAUCUCCGGGGGUAGAGCACUGUUUCGGCUAGGGGGCCAUCCCGGCUUACCAACCCGAUGCAAACUGCGAAUACCGGAGAAUGUUAUCACGGGAGACACACGGCGGGUGCUAACGUCCGUCGUGAAGAGGGAAACAACCCAGACCGCCAGCUAAGGUCCCAAAGUCAUGGUUAAGUGGGAAACGAUGUGGGAAGGCCCAGACAGCCAGGAUGUUGGCUUAGAAGCAGCCAUCAUUUAAAGAAAGCGUAAUAGCUCACUGGUCGAGUCGGCCUGCGCGGAAGAUGUAACGGGGCUAAACCAUGCACCGAAGCUGCGGCAGCGACGCUGAUG